rnacentral:tRNA from 2 species
AGGGCUAUAGCUCAGCAAGGUAGAGCACCUCGUUUACACGUGCGCCAAUGGUUUUCGGGAGAGUUUAUCGAUUCGUCCGAUCCACGAAAUAGAUUCUAUGUGAAAUAGUCUUACUCUAUCCAUUUGUUUCUCUGGGGAACAAUAGCAUGACAAAGAUUAAGUUCGAUCUGAUUCGAAUUACGGAUCUAAUUGAUAUGGUCAAUCCCAGCUCCGUUCAAUGCCAGGCAUAAUGAGUAUAAUACGGGGACCUCAAAAUAGAUUCUUUUCGCUCUAUGAACUUUUAGGUGUAUGAAGUUCAUAUUUUACUUUUGGAGCGAUAGAAGAAAGAGACUCUAUUUGAGUCAAUCUAUGCCCGAGCAAGGCAGACCUACGUCAAAUAAACCUUUUGAAUAACUUUGGGAUUGCUUCCGAAGGGUAAUAAUUUGGAGCACACGGAGCCAUAUUAGUAUCUUCCGGGAAAGAGGAGAAUGGCAGACUAACCGAUCUUUCCAUCAGUUAAUGAAAGAGCCCAAUGCGAUAAAAUGCAUGUUGGGUUCUUGGAACAGUUCAAUUUAUUU